rnacentral:rRNA from 1 species
UGAACGCUGGCGGCAUGCCUUACACAUGCAAGUCGAACGGGCACGCACGGGAGCAAUCCUGGUGGCGAGUGGCGAACGGGUGAGUAAUAUAUCGGAACGUGCCCAGUCGUGGGGGAUAACGUAGCGAAAGCUACGCUAAUACCGCAUACGAUCUAUGGAUGAAAGCGGGGGAUCGCAAGACCUCGCGCGAUUGGAGCGGCCGAUAUCAGAUUAGGUAGUUGGUGAGGUAAAGGCUCACCAAGCCGACGAUCUGUAGCUGGUCUGAGAGGACGACCAGCCACACUGGGACUGAGACACGGCCCAGACUCCUACGGGAGGCAGCAGUGGGAAUUUUGGACAAUGGGCGCAAGCCUGAUCCAGCAAUGCCGCGUGCAGGAUGAAGGCCUUCGGGUUGUAAACUGCUUUGUACGGAACGAAACGGUGAGCUCUAAUACAGUUUGCUAAUGACGGUACCGUAAGAAUAAGCACCGGCUAACUACGUG